AAUCCCUGCUUUGACUAACCCUUGGAUGGAGAAGAAGGAAAUUACUAUUUGUGUUUGCUUAGAAACGUGAACCUAUAUGGAUCUUUCAGGUUUCCAUAAAACUGACAACUCAAAAAUUUAGUUUGCUGUAGGAAAUAAGGUAUCCUGUGAAUAAAUAUUUAGAGGCAAGAUCUGAGCACUAUGCUACAAUUUCAAAAAUGGUUAAAAUAAGAAUGGCAAAUCUUCAACUUCUGUGAAAACAAACAAGAUAUAGCUUGCUGAACAGGAAACGAACAAGCUUCAAAUGCCACAUUAUUCAAGAAUGCUGCCCUAUUACAGGGAUUUGCUUGUAUUUACUUAAAAUAAACUGGUAACAAAGAAUCAUAGGAUGUUAAAGGUAGAAGAUGCCUUAAACUUCAUUUAAUAUUACACCCUCAUGAGACACCAGAGACCUAGAGGGCCCCCCAAAUUUAUUAAUAAAUUGCUUGUUUGGAAGCCGGAGCAUAUUUUCGCACAAAAAUAUGUGAUAAAUGAUGGGUCGAUGAUGGAAUACAGACCUUUCUCUCCUUUUAUACAGUACUGUAUCCUUGAAGAACUUUGUUUUCUAGUAUUGCUCACUGGGAGUGUAUAACAUUUCAUCUACAUUCUAGGUUAAUAUGAGUAAUUGGCUACUCAUUCCAUGUCAGCAGGAUGACACAGCCCCCAUGGGUGUGACUAUGAUGCCUCAAUUUAAGACUUCCAACCUUCUGUAAAGAUUGUAAGACACAGAAACUCUUUCCUAACUGGACUGAACAGUGAAAACAUUCAUGUGUUCAUGUAACUGGAAGUUCAGAGUCAGUUUAGCCCAGGAGCUCCUGCUCCAUUUCUCUGCAACUCCUUUGUGUGUGCUUCUCCCAUUUGAUAACAUCAUGUUUAGGUCAUUUUUCUCAGGUAGCAAAAGGACCGUGGUAGUUCCUGAACAUUCUGGCAUCUAGGCAAAGAAAUAGAAAAUCCCAGCCACAGGAUUCCAAGCAGGAGUCCUGAGACUGAGCUUGAUUGGACCCUGCCCAGCCGCUGGCUGAGUGGAACUAAGGAAGCUAAAAUGGCAUCGGGAGGCACACAAGCAUGGGGAUCAGAGGAAGAAAA